rnacentral:rRNA from 1 species
GAUGAACGCUGGCGGCGUGCCUAAAACAUGCAAGUCGAGCGAACAGACGAGGAGCUUGCUCCUCUGACGUUAGCGGCGGACGGGUGAGUAAAACGUGGAUAACCUACCUAUAAGACUGGGAUAACUUCGGGAAACCGGAGCUAAUACCGGAUAAUAUAUUGAACCGCAUGGUUCAAUAGUGAAAGACGGUUUUGCUGUCACUUAUAGAUGGAUCCGCGCCGCAUUAGCUAGUUGGUAAGGUAACGGCUUACCAAGGCAACGAUGCGUAGCCGACCUGAGAGGGUGAUCGGCCACACUGGAACUGAGACACGGUCCAGACUCCUACGGGAGGCAGCAGUAGGGAAUCUUCCGCAAUGGGCGAAAGCCUGACGGAGCAACGCCGCGUGAGUGAUGAAGGUCUUCGGAUCGUAAAACUCUGUUAUUAGGGAAGAACAAAUGUGUAAGUAACUAUGCACGUCUUGACGGUACCUAAUCAGAAAGCCACGGCUAACUACGUG